ACGCUGAAGGCGGAAAUGAAGCAUGAUCUGGCUUGCAUCUGGUGCAUGAAGAAAUUGCUGGCACGUUAGUUGCAGUCUACCUCCACCAACAGGGUGGAAAACAAAGGUCGCCAUUCCAAUUAGCUGCUAUCUCCCAGUUCAAGCACUUUUGCUGUCUGGACACUGGUUCCUGUGGAUGGGCUGUUACAAGCUUCACUGUCUGAUAUAGAAGUGAUGAGCAUCCA